rnacentral:rRNA from 1 species
UCGUCAGCUCGUGUUGUGAAAUGUUGGGUUAAGUCCCGCAACGAGCGCAACCCUUAUCCUUUGUUGCCAGCGGUCCGGCCGGGAACUCAAAGGAGACUGCCAGUGAUAAACUGGAGGAAGGUGGGGAUGACGUCAAGUCAUCAUGGCCCUUACGACCAGGGCUACACACGUGCUACAAUGGCGCAUACAAAGAGAAGCGACCUCGCGAGAGCAAGCGGACCUCAUAAAGUGCGUCGUAGUCCGGAUUGGAGUCUGCAACUCGACUCCAUGAAGUCGGAAUCGCUAGUAAUCGUGGAUCAGAAUGCCACGGUGAAUACGUUCCCGGGCCUUGUACACACCGCCCGUCACACCAUGGGAGUGGGUUGCAAAAGAAGUAGGUAGCUUAUCCUUCGGGAGGGCGCUUACCACUUUGUGAUUCAUGACUGGGGUGAAGUCGUAACAAGGUAACCGUA